rnacentral:rRNA from 1 species
GACGAACGCUGGCGGCAUGCCUAACACAUGCAAGUCGAUCGGUAAGGCUCUUCGCAUUUCACGAGAGGCGGACGGCUGCGCAACGCGUAGGCACACACCCUGUAGUCAGGGAUAAGACACUGAAAGGUGUUCUAAUACCGCAUACGGCCUUUGAACUAAUGCAUCUCUGCGCUGAAGGAGUGGCCUGCGCCAUACUAGAUUGAUGGUCAGGUAAUGGCUCACCAAGUUGAGGAUGUGUAGCUGGUCUGAGAGAAUGAUCAGCAAGACUGGAACUAAGACACGGUCCAGAAUCCUACGAAAGGCAGCAGAGAGGGAUAUAUCACAACGAGCGAAGGGGUGAUGGAGCAAUGCCGGGAGCAGGAUGAAGGGCGUCGGGUUGUAAACUGCUAUUAUAAGAGAAGAUUAUGACGGUAACUUAUGAAUAAGGGACGGCUAACUACGUG